rnacentral:rRNA from 1 species
GAUGAACGCUGGCGGCGUGCCUAAUACAUGCAAGUCGAGCGAACGGACGAGAAGCUUGCUUCUCUGAAGUUAGCGGCGGACGGGUGAGUAACACGUGGAUAACCUACCUAUAAGACUGGGAUAACUUCGGGAAACCGGAGCUAAUACCGGAUAAUAUUUUGAACCGCAUGGUUCAAAAGUGAAAGACGGUCUUGCUGUCACUUAUAGAUGGAUCCGCGCUGCAUUAGCUAGUUGGUAAGGUAACGGCUUACCAAGGCAACGAUGCAUAGCCGACCUGAGAGGGUGAUCGGCCACACUGGAACUGAGACACGGUCCAGACUCCUACGGGAGGCAGCAGUAGGGAAUCUUCCGCAAUGGGCGAAAGCCUGACGGAGCAACGCCGCGUGAGUGAUGAAGGUCUUCGGAUCGUAAAACUCUGUUAUUAGGGAAGAACAUAUGUGUAAGUAACUGUGCACAUCUUGACGGUACCUAAUCAGAAAGCCACGGCUAACUACGUGCCAGCAGCCGCGGUAAUACGUAGGUGGCAAGCGUUAUCCGGAAUUAUUGGGCGUAAAGCGCGCGUAGGCGGUUUUUUAGUCUGAUGUGAAAGCCCACGGCUCAACCGUGGAGGGUCAUUGGAAACUGGAAAACUUGAGUGCAGAAGAGGAAAGUGGAAUUCCAUGUGUAGCGGUGAAAUGCGCAGAGAUAUGGAGGAACACCAGUGGCGAAGGCGACUUUCUGGUCUGUAACUGACGCUGAUGUGCGAAAGCGUGGGGAUCAAACAGGAUUAGAUACCCUGGUAGUCCACGCCGUAAACGAUGAGUGCUAAGUGUUAGGGGGUUUCCGCCCCUUAGUGCUGCAGCUAACGCAUUAAGCACUCCGCCUGGGGAGUACGACCGCAAGGUUGAAACUCAAAGGAAUUGACGGGGACCCGCACAAGCGGUGGAGCAUGUGGUUUAAUUCGAAGCAACGCGAAGAACCUUACCAAAUCUUGACAUCCUUUGACAACUCUAGAGAUAGAGCCUUCCCCUUCGGGGGACAAAGUGACAGGUGGUGCAUGGUUGUCGUCAGCUCGUGUCGUGAGAUGUUGGGUUAAGUCCCGCAACGAGCGCAACCCUUAAGCUUAGUUGCCAUCAUUAAGUUGGGCACUCUAAGCUGACUGCCGGUGACAAACCGGAGGAAGGUGGGGAUGACGUCAAAUCAUCAUGCCCCUUAUGAUUUGGGCUACACACGUGCUACAAUGGACAAUACAAAGGGCAGCGAAACCGCGAGGUCAAGCAAAUCCCAUAAAGUUGUUCUCAGUUCGGAUUGUAGUCUGCAACUCGACUACAUGAAGCUGGAAUCGCUAGUAAUCGUAGAUCAGCAUGCUACGGUGAAUACGUUCCCGGGUCU